rnacentral:lncRNA from 1 species
UGCUGUUGCUGCUGCUGAAUUAGCAAUUGCUGCUGCUGCCGACGCCUGGCUGUUCGUAGCUUUUCAAAGCGAGCCUCCAUUUCUUCCAGAACUUUUGGGGUGUAUCGCACCACCAGCUUGACGCUGUCUUUAGCAGCCUUGAGUAGUUCCACAGCUUUCUCAUGGUGUUCUCCUUCCACACUCACUCCGUUCACUGAUAGCAGCUGGUCUCCUCUUUUG